AAACUUUCAACAACGGAUCUCUUGGUUCUGGCAUCGAUGAAGAACGCAGCGAAAUGCGAUAAGUAAUGUGAAUUGCAGAAUUCAGUGAAUCAUCGAAUCUUUGAACGCACAUUGCGCCCCUUGGUAUUCCGAGGGGCAUGCCUGUUCGAGCGUCAUUG
rnacentral:rRNA from 7 species